rnacentral:rRNA from 1 species
GGGUUGUGAGGUUAAGCGACUAAGCGUACACGGUGGAUGCCCUGGCAGUCAGAGGCGAUGAAGGACGUGCUAAUCUGCGAUAAGCGUCGGUAAGGUGAUAUGAACCGUUAUAACCGGCGAUUUCCGAAUGGGGAAACCCAGUGUGUUUCGACACACUAUCAUUAACUGAAUCCAUAGGUUAAUGAGGCGAACCGGGGGAACUGAAACAUCUAAGUACCCCGAGGAAAAGAAAUCAACCGAGAUUCCCCCAGUAGCGGCGAGCGAACGGGGAGCAGCCCAGAGCCUGAAUCAGUGUGUGUGUUAGUGGAAGCGUCUGGAAAGGCGCGCGAUACAGGGUGACAGCCCCGUACACAAAAAUGCACAUGCUGUGAGCUCGAUGAGUAGGGCGGGACACGUGGUAUCCUGUCUGAAUAUGGGGGGACCAUCCUCCAAGGCUAAAUACUCCUGACUGACCGAUAGUGAACCAGUACCGUGAGGGAAAGGCGAAAAGAACCCCGGCGAGGGGAGUGAAAAAGAACCUGAAACCGUGUACGUACAAGCAGUGGGAGCACGCUUAGGCGUGUGACUGCGUACCUUUUGUAUAAUGGGUCAGCGACUUAUAUUCUGUAGCAAGGUUAACCGAAUAGGGGAGCCGAAGGGAAACCGAGUCUUAACUGGGCGUUAAGUUGCAGGGUAUAGACCCGAAACCCGGUGAUCUAGCCAUGGGCAGGUUGAAGGUUGGGUAACACUAACUGGAGGACCGAACCGACUAAUGUUGAAAAAUUAGCGGAUGACUUGUGGCUGGGGGUGAAAGGCCAAUCAAACCGGGAGAUAGCUGGUUCUCCCCGAAAGCUAUUUAGGUAGCGCCUCGUGAAUUCAUCUCCGGGGGUAGAGCACUGUUUCGGCAAGGGGGUCAUCCCGACUUACCAACCCGAUGCAAACUGCGAAUACCGGAGAAUGUUAUCACGGGAGACACACGGCGGGUGCUAACGUCCGUCGUGAAGAGGGAAACAACCCAGACCGCCAGCUAAGGUCCCAAAGUCAUGGUUAAGUGGGAAACGAUGUGGGAAGGCCCAGACAGCCAGGAUGUUGGCUUAGAAGCAGCCAUCAUUUAAAGAAAGCGUAAUAGCUCACUGGUCGAGUCGGCCUGCGCGGAAGAUGUAACGGGGCUAAACCAUGCACCGAAGCUGCGGCAGCGACGCUUAUGCGUUGUUGGGUAGGGGAGCGUUCUGUAAGCCUGCGAAGGUGUGCUGUGAGGCAUGCUGGAGGUAUCAGAAGUGCGAAUGCUGACAUAAGUAACGAUAAAGCGGGUGAAAAGCCCGCUCGCCGGAAGACCAAGGGUUCCUGUCCAACGUUAAUCGGGGCAGGGUGAGUCGACCCCUAAGGCGAGGCCGAAAGGCGUAGUCGAUGGGAAACAGGUUAAUAUUCCUGUACUUGGUGUUACUGCGAAGGGGGGACGGAGAAGGCUAUGUUGGCCGGGCGACGGUUGUCCCGGUUUAAGCGUGUAGGCUGGUUUUCCAGGCAAAUCCGGAAAAUCAAGGCUGAGGCGUGAUGACGAGGCACUACGGUGCUGAAGCAACAAAUGCCCUGCUUCCAGGAAAAGCCUCUAAGCAUCAGGUAACAUCAAAUCGUACCCCAAACCGACACAGGUGGUCAGGUAGAGAAUACCAAGGCGCUUGAGAGAACUCGGGUGAAGGAACUAGGCAAAAUGGUGCCGUAACUUCGGGAGAAGGCACGCUGAUAUGUAGGUGAGGUCCCUCGCGGAUGGAGCUGAAAUCAGUCGAAGAUACCAGCUGGCUGCAACUGUUUAUUAAAAACACAGCACUGUGCAAACACGAAAGUGGACGUAUACGGUGUGACGCCUGCCCGGUGCCGGAAGGUUAAUUGAUGGGGUUAGCGGUAACGCGAAGCUCUUGAUCGAAGCCCCGGUAAACGGCGGCCGUAACUAUAACGGUCCUAAGGUAGCGAAAUUCCUUGUCGGGUAAGUUCCGACCUGCACGAAUGGCGUAAUGAUGGCCAGGCUGUCUCCACCCGAGACUCAGUGAAAUUGAACUCGCUGUGAAGAUGCAGUGUACCCGCGGCAAGACGGAAAGACCCCGUGAACCUUUACUAUAGCUUGACACUGAACAUUGAGCCUUGAUGUGUAGGAUAGGUGGGAGGCUUUGAAGUGUGGACGCCAGUCUGCAUGGAGCCGACCUUGAAAUACCACCCUUUAAUGUUUGAUGUUCUAACGUUGACCCGUAAUCCGGGUUGCGGACAGUGUCUGGUGGGUAGUUUGACUGGGGCGGUCUCCUCCUAAAGAGUAACGGAGGAGCACGAAGGUUGGCUAAUCCUGGUCGGACAUCAGGAGGUUAGUGCAAUGGCAUAAGCCAGCUUGACUGCGAGCGUGACGGCGCGAGCAGGUGCGAAAGCAGGUCAUAGUGAUCCGGUGGUUCUGAAUGGAAGGGCCAUCGCUCAACGGAUAAAAGGUACUCCGGGGAUAACAGGCUGAUACCGCCCAAGAGUUCAUAUCGACGGCGGUGUUUGGCACCUCGAUGUCGGCUCAUCACAUCCUGGGGCUGAAGUAGGUCCCAAGGGUAUGGCUGUUCGCCAUUUAAAGUGGUACGCGAGCUGGGUUUAGAACGUCGUGAGACAGUUCGGUCCCUAUCUGCCGUGGGCGCUGGAGAACUGAGGGGGGCUGCUCCUAGUACGAGAGGACCGGAGUGGACGCAUCACUGGUGUUCGGGUUGUCAUGCCAAUGGCACUGCCCGGUAGCUAAAUGCGGAAGAGAUAAGUGCUGAAAGCAUCUAAGCACGAAACUUGCCCCGAGAUGAGUUCUCCCUGACUCCUUGAGAGUCCUGAAGGAACGUUGAAGACGACGACGUUGAUAGGCCGGGUGUGUAAGCGCAGCGAUGCGUUGAGCUAACCGGUACUAAUGAACCGUGAGGCUUAACCUUACAACGCCGAAG